UACGUAGGGGGCUAGCGUUGUCCGGAUUUAUUGGGCGUAAAGAGCGUGUAGGCGGCCAGGUAGGUCUGGUGUGAAAACUCGAGGCUUAACCUCGAGAUGUCAUCGGAAACCAUUUGGCUAGAGUCCGGAAGAGGAGAGUGGGAAUUCCUGGUGUAGCGGUGAAAUUCGCAGAUAUCAGGAAGAACACCCGGUGGCGAAGGCGGCUCUCUGGGACGGUACUGACGCUG
rnacentral:rRNA from 1 species